GAUGAACGCUAGCGGCAGGCCUAAUACAUGCAAGUCGAACGGUGUCUUCGGACAUAGUGGCGCACGGGUGCGUAACACGUACGCAACCUACCUUACAUUGGGGGAUAGCCUUUCGAAAGGGAGAUUAAUACCGCAUAAGACAGUAGCUGGGCAUCCAGCAGCUGUUAAAGAUUUAUCGAUGUAAGCUGGGCAUGCGUCCAAUUAGCUAGUUGGUGAGGUAACGGCUCACCAAGGCAAUGAUUGGUAGGGGAACUGAGAGGUCAAUCCCCCACACUGCGACUGAGAUCCGGACCAUACUCCUACGGGAGGCAGCGGUAGGGAAUAUUGGGCAAUGGGCGCAAGUCUGACCCAGCCAUGCCGCGUGCAGGAUGAAGGCGUUAUGCGUUGUAAACUGCUUUUAUACAGGAAGAAACGACUCUUGCGAGAGGCAUUGACGGUACUGUAUGAAUAAGCACCGGCUAACUCCGUGCCAGCCGCCGCCGUAAAAC
rnacentral:rRNA from 1 species